UACGGAGGGUGCAAGCGUUAUCCGGAAUCACUGGGCUUAAAGCGUGUGUAGGCGGGUCGUUAAGUGUCUUGUGAAAUCCCACCGCUCAACGGUGGAACUGCUGGGCAUACUGGCGAUCUUGAGCCACCUAGGGGCAGACGGAACAAGCGGUGGAGCGGUGAAAUGCGUAGAUAUCGCUUGGAACGCCGACGGUGAAAACAGUCUGCUGGGGGUGUGCUGACGCUGAGACACGAAAGCCAGGGGAGCGAACGGG
rnacentral:rRNA from 1 species